rnacentral:rRNA from 1 species
UUGAACGCUGGCGGCAUGCCUUACACAUGCAAGUCGAACGGUAACGGGUUAAGCCGACGAGUGGCGAACGGGUGAGUAAUAUAUCGGAACGUGCCCAAUCGUGGGGGAUAACGCAGCGAAAGUUGUGCUAAUACCGCAUACGCCCCGAGGGGGAAAGCAGGGGAUCGCAAGACCUUGCGUUAUUCGAGCGGCCGACGUCUGAUUAGCUAGUUGGUGGGGUAAAGGCCUACCAAGGCGACGAUCAGUAGCGGGUCUGAGAGGAUGAUCCGCCACACUGGAACUGAGACACGGUCCAGACUCCUACGGGAGGCAGCAGUGGGGAAUUUUGGACAAUGGGGGCAACCCUGAUCCAGCCAUUCCGCGUGAGUGAAGAAGGCCUUCGGGUUGUAAAGCUCUUUCAGCUGGAACGAAACGGUAGUCUCUAACAUAGGCUGCUAAUGACGGUACCAGCAGAAGAAGCACCGGCUAACUACGU